GACCUCGUAGCUCAGUUGGUAGAGCAUUGGACUAGUAUCCCAAAGGUCGCGGGUUCAAUCCCCACCGUGGCCA
rnacentral:tRNA from 1 species